rnacentral:rRNA from 1 species
UACGUAGGUGGCAAGCGUUGUCCGGAUUUAUUGGGUUUAAAGGGUGCGUAGGCGGUCAAAUAAGUCAGUUGUGAAAUACGGCAGCUCAACUGUCGAGGUGCAAUUGAUACUGUUUGACUUGAGUAUUGUUGAGGUAGGCGGAAUGGACGGUGUAGCGGUGAAAUGCUUAGAGAUCGUCCAGAACACCGAUAGCGAAGGCAGCUUACUAAAGAAUAACUGACGCUGAGGCACGAAAGUGUGGGGAUCAAACAGGA